rnacentral:rRNA from 1 species
AACGAACGUUGGCGGCGUGGAUGAGGCAUGCAAGUCGAACGCGAAAGCCGCAAGGUGAGUAGAGUGGCGGACGGGCGAGUAACACGUAAUCAAGCUACCUGCGAGACGGGAAUAACCUCGGGAAACCGAGGCUAAGACCCGAUGGUCUUCAUGGACCGCAUGGUCUGGGAAGUAAAUGGGCGGGAUCCUUCGGGAUCGCCUGCUCGCAGAGGUGAUUGCGGCCCAUCAGCUAGUUGGUAGGGUAAUGGCCUACCAAGGCAACGACGGGUAGCCGGCCUUAGAGGGUGGUCGGCCGCACUAGGACUGAGACACUGCCCAGACUCCUACGGGAGGCUGCAGUCGAGAAUCUUCCGCAAUGGGCGCAAGCCUGACGGAGCGACGCCGCGUGGAGGACGAAGGCC